rnacentral:rRNA from 1 species
UACAGAGGUGGCAAGCGUUGUUCGGAAUUACUGGGCGUAAAGGGCGCGUAGGUGGCCUUCUUAGUCAGACGUGAAAUCCCUGGGCUUAACUCAGGAACUGCGUCUGAUACUGGAAGGCUCGAGUUCGGGAGAGGAAUGUGGAAUUCCAGGUGUAGCGGUGAAAUGCGUAGAUAUCUGGAGGAACACCGGUGGCGAAGGCGGCAUUCUGGACCGAAACUGACACUGAGGCGCGAAAGCCAGGGGAGCAAACGGG